UCGGUUGAUCCUGCCGGACCUUACUGCUAUCGGGGUGGGACUAAGACAUGCGAGUCACGUGUCUCUAGCUAUGUUGAGACACGGCAGACGGCUCAGUAACGCGUGGCUAACCUGCCCUCAGGACGAAGAUAACCCCGGGAAACUGGGGAUAAUAUUCGAUAGGUGAGGAUGUCUGGAAUGACUUCUCUCCUAAAGGACCUAGAUACAUGCUUCUAUGUCGCCUGGGGAUGGGGCCGCGCCCGAUCAGGUUGUUGGUGAGGUAACGGCUCACCAAGCCUAUAACCGGUACGGGCCGUGAGAGCGGUAGCCCGGAGAUGGGUACUGAGACAAGGACCCAGGCCCUACGGGGCGCAGCAGUCGCGAAAACUCCGCAAUGCACGAAAGUGUGACGGGGCUACCCCGAGUGCCAUCCGCUGAGGAUGGCUUUUCUUUGGUAUAACUAGCCAUUGGAAUAAGGAGAGGGCAAGACUGGUGUCAGCCGCCGCGGUAAUACCAGCUCUCCGAGUGGUAGGGAUGAUUAUUGGGCUUAAAGCGUCCGUAGCCGGCUUAGCAAGUUUCCUGUUAAACCCAGCGACUCAAUCGUUGGAUCGCGGGAAAUGUUACUAGGCUAGGAGGCGGGAGAGGUCAACGGUACUUCUGGNGUAGGGGUGAAAUCCUAUAAUCCCGGGAGGACCACCAGUGGCGAAGGCUGUUGACUAGAACGCGCUCGACGGUGAGGGACGAAAGCUGGGGGAGCGAACCGGANUAGAUACCCGGGUAGUCCCAGCUGUAAACGAUGCGAGCUAGGUGUUGGGAUGGCUACGGGCCAUUUCAGUGCCNCAGGGAAGCCAUUAAGCUCGCCGCCUGGGGNAGUANGGCCGCAAGGCUGAAACUUAAAGGAAUUGGCGGGG
rnacentral:rRNA from 1 species